rnacentral:rRNA from 1 species
ACGAACGCUGGCGGCAUGCCUAACACAUGCAAGUCGCACGCGACCUUCGGGUCUAGUGGCGCACGGGUGCGUAACGCGUGGGAACCUGCCCUUAGGUUCGGAAUAACUCCCCGAAAGGGGUGCUAAUACCGGAUAAUGUCUUCGGACCAAAGAUUUAUCGCCUUUGGAUGGGCCCGCGUUGGAUUAGCUAGUUGGUAGGGUAAAAGCCUACCAAGGCGACGAUCCAUAGCUGGUCUGAGAGGAUGAUCAGCCACACUGGGACUGAGACACGGCCCAGACUCCUACGGGAGGCAGCAGUGGGGAAUAUUGGACAAUGGGCGAAAGCCUGAUCCAGCAAUGCCGCGUGAGUGAUGAAGGCCUUAGGGUUGUAAAGCUCUUUUACCCGGGAUGAUAAUGACAGUACCGGGAGAAUAAGCGCCGGCUAACUCCGUG